AGCGCCCCCUCGCCUCUGCACCACCCGUAUCUCAUGGACACAAACUGAUUUUCUUGGCCAUGUAUUUCCUGCCACCGAAACUCCAUCCGUUGUGCCCCCGCCCGGGACAGGGUGACGAUCCUGCUGGUUCCAUGGAACCACGUGGAACCCCCCCACACCUCAGCUCACCUGCGUGAUUGCAGAAUGAGAGAGAAUAUUUUCUGUGUUGGAAGGCUGGUCUACCUUCUGUUGAAUUGGAGAAGAAAAACUUAAAGAGGCUCUUGUUGUAAGAGUUCUCAGCUCCCCGAGGCCAGGAACAUCCACGUAGCCAUCAAGUUGCAGAUGCUCUCGUGAUGCCAACAUGACUUCCCUGGACAGACAACCUUACCAAUGUGUCCUGGAACCUCACCUCCCUAGAGCCCUACCCCACUAGGGAAAGAGAGAAACAGGUUAGAGGUGUGGGUUGACCUGUCAAUGCCUAUGUCCAGCAGAGAAGCAAUUAUAGAAACCAGACUUCCCACUUUCUGCACCCCAUAAAGAUCUUUGGUCUAUACUCCCAGAGGGAUAAGGAAUAGGGAACUUUCCAGUGGAGGGGAUGGGAUACAGAAAUCUGGUGGUGGGAAUUGUAUGGUAUUGUACCCCUUAUACAUGUCUUAAUUAAGAGAGACCUCCCCACUGCAAGCCCCAGUCAAAAAAAGAUAUCUUGGAUAUUGACUUUACUUAUCAAAUAUAGCCUAUACUUUAAGCUCUAUGUAAAUUAAUUCAAAUUCCAUGUUUAUUGAGAACCACCCAUUUUUCAAACACCAUCCAGAGUGGCCUUAGCAAAUGAGAAUUUGGAUGAGGUUUGAUCUCAAGACUCCAGCAGACUUCUAUUUCCGCAGGAACUCUACUUUCUUUUUUUUAAAUUUAUUUUAUUAUUUAUUUUUUAUUUAAGAAAGGAUUAAUUAACAAAACCAUAGGGU